rnacentral:tRNA from 1 species
UUCUUGGUGGUCUAGUGGUUAGGACUUGGUGUUUUCACUACUGCAUUCCAGGUUCAAACCCUGGUCUGGGUG